rnacentral:rRNA from 1 species
UACGUAGGGUGCAAGCGUUGUCCGGAAUUAUUGGGCGUAAAGAGCUCGUAGGCGGUUUGUCGCGUCUGCUGUGAAAACUCGGGGCUCAACUCCGAGCUUGCAGUGGGUACGGGCAGACUAGAGUGCGGUAGGGGAGAGCUGGAAUUCCUGGUGUAGCGGGUGAAUGCGCAGAUAUCAGGAGGAACACCGGUAGCGAAGGCGGGUCUCUGGGCCGUAACUGACGCUGAGGAGCGAAAGCGUGGGGAGCGAACCGGGAUUAGAUACCCC